CUACUUACCUGGCAGGGGAGACACCAUGAUCACGUAGGUGGUUUUCCAGGUGAGGCUCCGUCAUUGGCACUUGGGCUGUGCUGACCCCUGCGAUUUCCCCAAAUGCGGGAAACUCGACUGCAUAAUUGGUGGUAGUGGGGGACUGCGUUCGCGCCCUCCCCUG
rnacentral:snRNA from 1 species